AUAAAUAAGCGGAGGAAAAGAAACCAAACGGGAUUCCCUUAGUAACGGCGAGCGAAAAGGGAAAAGUCCAGCACCAAGUCUUGACAUSUAUGGUGUUCAAGAGAUGCGGUGUUAAUGUAUCGACCCAUCGUGCACUGUUCCACAUUUCAAGUUCCUACGACUGGGACUUCCAGAGCGGGUGUAAGACCCAUAGAGAUGAGGAACCAGUGUAUGCUGAGCGAUGCAUUCUAGAGUCAGGUUGCUUGAGAGUGCAGCUUAAAGUCGGUGGUAAACUCCAUCCAAGACUAAAUAUUACAGCGAGACCGAUAGCAAACAAGUACCGUGAGGGAAAGUUGCAAAGCACUUUGAAGAGAGAGUCCAAAAGUACGUGAAACCACUGGGAGGCAAACAGAUGGAACCACGAAGUGUGCGCCUCGGUCGAUUCAAUCAUCACCAUUUGUCAGUUGUUUGAGAUCAGGAUCUUUUCGGAGAUUGAUUUCCAGCAAYUAUGAUGRAUGGUGUUGGUGCAUUUCGUGCCGGGGAUGCUAAGCCACGUUCAACUAGAGUUGGGACGGCUGUAAGAAAGAAUCCGAGAAAGGUGCCCGUCACGUGCUUGCAUUUGACGGUGUUAUAGUCUUGGAUUGGCACCGUCACCUAACAUACUGGUUGAUGCAAAUUCUCCAUUUGGAGUUGAACCAUAUCUGCCUGUGACUGUUAGUCGAUGUUGAGUAAUGUUCUUUGCGUAUCUUUCGAUGCGAAAAGACUUUGCGAAGAUGUCGGCUAAUGGCUGCUUGCGUGAUAUGGUGGAACUGUGGCGCGAGUAGGUCGGUCUCCAUCUGACCCGUCUUGAAACACGGACCAAGGAGCCUAUCAUAUACGCGAGUCGCUCGGUCUUGUUUAGGCCUGGGAGGCGUAAUGAAAGUAAAGUUACUAGGCUUCGGCUGCAGUAACGGCUCGCCCACUUUGUUUAUUGGCAAUAUGGCGAAGCUGGAGCGUAUACGAUGGUACCCGAAAGAUGGUGAACUAUGCCUGGGCAAGACGAAGCCAGAGGAAACUCUGGUGGAGGUCUGUAGCGAUUCUGACGUGCAAAUCGAUCGUCAGACCUGGGUAUAGGGGCGAAAGACUAAUCGAACCAUCUAGUAGCUGGUUCCCUCCGAAGUUUCCCUCAGGAUAGCAGGCGUUUAUUKUKGUGCAGUCUCAUCCGGUAAAGCUAAUGAUUAGAGGUCUUGGGGUUGAAACGACCUCAACCUAUUCUCAAACUUUAAAUGGGUGAGAUGGUUGACUUUCUUGAUUGAAGCCAACCAUUUGGAUGCAAAUGCCUAGUGGGCCAUUUUUGGUAAGCAGAACYGGCGCUGUGGGAUGAACCAAACGUCGAGAUAAGGCAUCAAAUGCGUACGCUCAUCAGACCCCAUGAAAGGUGUUGGUUGCUAUAGACAGCAGGACGGUGGCCAUGGAAGUCGGAAUCCGCUAAGGAGUGUGUAACAACUCACCUGCCGAAGCAACUAGCCCUGAAAAUGGACGAUGCUGUAGCGUGGAGCCGAUACUCGACCGUUAURAUGAUUUAAAUUAMGAUAUYAUAACGAGUAGGAGGGCCGCAGUGUUAGCGUUGAAGGUGUCCGGCGUAAGCCGGCCUGGAGCUAUCAUUGUU
rnacentral:rRNA from 1 species